CAGAGAGGGAGCACACAAGAGAGGCUUCUGAGAUGGCCAAGGGUUUACUGAUCGAUCCAUCCUGAUUGGGAUCUGUUCGUGGUUCUGGUUGACUGGCUGGUGCGUCGUGCCAUUGCUGGUGCUUGAGGUUGUCUCGCUGGUUUCCUUGCAGUAUCGUCGAUCUGUGCAUCCAGGCACCCCAAGCUUUUCCUCGCGCGAUGGCAUCAGGCGCACGGAGGGAGCUCUUCUCCGUCGAUGUGGUGAACAACGACUGUGAUCUCCGUUCCACGGCGUCACCGGCUAGCAAGGCCGAGACAAGCAUCGUAAGGAUCCAGUUAGAAUGAUGACUGAUAUCCUGUUAGAGCAUCUUGGGCUUCACAAGGCCAUCUGAGACUCGGG